UUUAAUAUUUGAAAUAUCUUCACUUCCGGGUUAGCAAAGUGUACCACGUGAUGCAUGAUUCAAAACUAUUUAAUCUUGUGAUAUUUUUAUCUGUUACUGUUUACAAAGCAUGACUUCAUCCAGUAACAAGAAAUGCUAUAGCAUACAUGACAAUUUUUAUAACAAAUAUGGCAUCAAUUAAAGCAUAUUUAAUCCAGUAAGAACUAAGUAGGAAGAUAAUUCGUAGAAGUUGCAUAAACGUAGUAUUAUUGGAAAACGCAAAUAAAGUAACUUGUUUUGUCAAGUUGUAGGAGAUGGGUGUCGGAAGAAAUAGUAAUUGAAAGAAAUAUUAUUCCAAUUCCUUGGGAUUCUUCUUUAAUAUAAUGUUAAAACAUAAAAUUGGCUAAUAUAAAUUAAUUGAAGAAUGUUACAAAUAAAAUGUUGCGUCACUGCAACGUUGUUUCUUAACGGAUUAAUGGAUACUAAAACACGGUAAUAAUAUAACAUGUUGAUAUUUUACGAUGUACAAGUAAUCGAUGAGGACGAGUUACUUCACACUAUGAGAUGUGAGACGUUUGCAGUGUAUGCAGCGGGCGAUAAUCUGAUAUCGUCUGAACGUGGUAUAGGUCGUUGACGGAUGUCACUGUCCCCUGGCCAUGCCCGACCAGGACUUCGCGGAGAUAUGUUCGAUCUAGCUACCGUAUCGACUGCUAAACUUACGGUCGUAGGAUCGUUAAGGCCGUUACUUUGAAUCCUUCGCUGAGCGGCUAUCGAAGCUCGUAGAGUCUUUCGUUUCUGCAUUUUAAAAAUCGAAAGAAUAGAAAUUAGAUAAAUAUACUAGGGGUACUGGAAAAAAGCUGCAUUCGUUUUAUUGUUUUGGCUAAUUCUACUGAAUUUGUAUCGCAAUACAAGUAGUAGUAUUUCGUUAAUUAGUCAUCGCUAUUUUUAUCUUUAUUCUCUCCUAGAAUUAAAUUGCUAGUAGAAUGAGUUUUUGGCGUUACGUUAUAUAAAAGGAACAAAUGAGUUAUAUAACUGUUAAUAGAGAAGAAAAAUACUAGGAAUUUUCUGGAAUUAUAUUUCCCUCGAUAAUUGAGCUGAUAAGGUUUCAUGACCAGUUAGCGAAGCACUACUCUAUGAAUUGUAUUUGAGAUUAACUAUAAUGAUUAGAAUGCGGACUUUUAUGCGUGUAAGAGAAAUUUAAAGGUGCGAAAAUGCACACGAUGCAUUUGAAGAUAACACAAGUCCAAGAUAGUAUACUUUUUCUAAUAUUUGAUAAGAAAUACAAAUUUCGGCUCAGGUUCCCCUUCUUUAAUUGUGCUCAUAAGAAUAUGGAUUUGCAUAAAUAUUCGCAGUCUAAUGAUGAUAUUUUGCAUAUAUAUAUAUAUAUAUAUAUAUAGCUUAACCUUUCUGCAACAGGACCGUAAGAACUAGAACUCCACUUUUCUUAUACACACUUUUGCAAGAAAGAGUUAAAAUAAAAUGUAAAAGGGGAAAAGUGUAAAAUGCUAACUGUAUAAAUAUUUGAUGCAUCAUAAAAGCAGCAAUUAUAAUGUCAAAUACGAUGAA
rnacentral:lncRNA from 1 species